rnacentral:rRNA from 1 species
AUACGGAGGGGGCUAGCGUUGUUCGGAUUUACUGGGCGUAAAGCGCACGUAGGCGGUAUAUCAAGUUAGGCGUGAAAGCCCCGGGCUCAACCCGGGAACAGCGCUUAUUACUGAUAAACUAGAGUCCGGGAGAGGGUAGCGGAAUUCCCAGUGUAGAGGUGAAAUUCGUAGAUAUUGGGAAGAACACCAGUUGCGAAGGCGGCUACCUGGACCGGUACUGACGCUGAGGUGCGAAAGCGUGGGGAGCAAACAGGAUUAGAUACCCCGGUAGUCC